GGCCCGUUAGUCAAGUGGUUAAGACACCGCCCUUUCACGGCGGUAACGCCGGUUCGAUCCCGGCACGGGCUACCA
rnacentral:tRNA from 3 species